AAAAUAGUUUUAACAUAAACCGUUUUCAACUUGGUAAGUGGAAAACAUUUUGGUUUCCACCAUAAGUGGCCCACACAACUCUGAUUUUUUUACCUUAAAGCGGCGCAGACCCCGCCCACUCCAGCCAUUCCUUCAGGCUGCCCGGGCUCUUCUCUCCGCGCAUGCGCAGUUUCCUACAGGCCCGGAAACGGAUCGCGUUGGGUGAAGGUGACGGCGUCGAGCGUGAGUGACCCUCUGUGUAGAUUAAACCUGCGCUCCCUGUUUCCCAUUUCCACAGCCGAUGUCCAGGGUCGAUACGGCCCUUAAAAUCCCCGUACACUCCACCCCAGCAUUGACUUCCAAAGACUCCUGGCACAUGAGGAAGAAACCCAGAAGAGGAGAGCAAAGGAGUCAGGAAUGGCUUUUACUCAGAUCUGUCUCGUAACUGUGUAAUCAAGGAACUAGCACCACAACAGGAAGGUAACCCAGGAGAAGUAUUCCACACAGUGACAUUGGAACAACAUGAAAAACAUGACAUUGAAGAGUUUUGCUUCAGGGAAAUCAAGAAAAAAAUACACGACUUUGACUGUCAGUGGAGAGAUG
rnacentral:lncRNA from 1 species